rnacentral:rRNA from 1 species
UACGAAGGGGGCUAGCGUUGUUCGGAAUUACUGGGCGUAAAGCGCGCGCAGGCGGUCCUUUAAGUCAGGGGUGAAAGCCCAGAGCUCAACUCUGGAACUGCCUUUGAAACUAGAGGACUUGGGUACGGGAGAGGUGAGUGGAAUUCCGAGUGUAGAGGUGAAAUGCGCAGAUAUCAGGAGGAACACCGGUGGCGAAGGCGGGUCUCUGGGCAUUAACUGACGCUGAGGAGCGAAAGCAUGGGGAGCGAACAGG